rnacentral:rRNA from 1 species
AUUGAACGCUGGCGGCAUGCUUUACACAUGCAAGUCGAACGGUAACAGGCCGCAGGGUGCUGACGAGUGGCGAACGGGUGAGUAAUGCAUCGGAACGUGCCCAGUCGUGGGGGAUAACGCAGCGAAAGCUGUGCUAAUACCGCAUACGAUCUAUGGAUGAAAGCGGGGGACCGUAAGGCCUCGCGCGAUUGGAGCGGCCGAUGUCAGGAUUAGGUAGAUGGUGGGGUAAAGGCCUACCAAGCCGACGAUCUGUAGCUGGUCUGGGAGGGCGACCAGCCAGACUGGGAACGAGAGACGGCACAGACUCCUACGGGAGGCAGGAGUGGGGAAUGUUGGACAAGUGGCGCAAGCCUGAUCCAGCAAUGCCGCGUGCAGGAAGAAGGCCUUCGGGUUGUUAUCUGCUUUUGUACGGAACGAAACGGUCUGGGUUAAUACCCUGGGCUAAUGACGGUACCGUAAGAAUAAGCACCGGCUAACUACGUGCCAGCAGCCGCCGUAA